AGCCCGGGGGCCGCGCCGGGGGUGCCAGGGUCCAGCACACUGGAGUGGCGGCGCCUCCCCGUGGUGUCCCCGCGCCUGGGUCCUUUUUGGGACUGGCUCUGGCACUCACGGGCACUCAGUCCAGUAGAGAAAUCCAGCAGGAGGCUUCCAGGUCGGACUCCUCCGAGGAGUAAGGAGAGGGAAGGGGCCUCACAAACACACCCAGGAGCAUCUGGUGACAGAGGAUGAGAAAAUAGAGUGACGAUGCGGAGUCAGGGGUCUAAUCUCCCUGCAAGCCACCCGAUCUCCCUGGGCCUCUGUUUUCUCAUCUGUGAAAUGACAGGUUGGACGGCUUAGUCUCUGAGGCCUCAUCCAGUUCCAUGGACUGUGUGUUAGCACAAACUAUUUGCUGGCAAUUACAAGGGAAAAACUUCUAUUCUCAGAAUGAAAAUGGGAAGCUGUAAAUUAAUUUAAGUCCUUCUGCCAUCAGCGGAAGCCACUCCUCCUCGCCUUGACAAGGAACCUGUGCUCUCCUGGUGACAGUCAGCCCAUUCGCGGCUAUCUCAGCUGCUAAGUCCUCCUCCCCUGGUGCCUCCUUGGUCUAUCCUACUCUCACAGUCACCCUAGGAAUCCCAGAGUGACAGCAGAAAAGACACACACCGAGAGAAGACACAAUCUAAUGGCUACUCCAUUUACUUGCUGUGUGACUUCAGGCAGGUCUCCUAGCCUCUCUGGGCAUGAGUUUCCUCUUCUAUAAUUCAUUCAUUCAGUGAAUAUUUACCAACAGCCUGCUAUGUGCCAGCAAUGAAUAAAAGAGAUGACAAUUCCUGCCCUGAUGAAGCAUGCAUUCUGAUGGGAGAAAAACAACAAAAAUGAAGAAGCCAGGCUGGGCGUCGUGGCUCACACCUGUAAUCCCAGCACUUUGGGAGG